CGUGCACUGGUGGGGUCCCUCGGCCUGGCCUGCGACAUCCCCCGUGGGGUCCCAGAUUGCAAGAGGGUGCAGGCCAGGCCGAGGGACCCCACCAGUAUAUA
rfam:Myotis brandtii contig188201, whole genome shotgun sequence.